rnacentral:lncRNA from 1 species
AGACAUUAUUUUAACUUAAGCUUUCAUACUUAUUCUGGAUAAUUCACUUUGUCUCUAAGGACAUUCUCCCUUGACUCUUUUAGUUGCUGGAAACAGAUUUAGUACUGACAGGCAGAGUCCUGUGUAGGUGUGGGAAGAAAGACACACCUCAUAUAGACAAAAAACCAGAAGUUUUUAUAGCAGCAGACUUUGCUGGCCAGAGUCAACUUGUCAGAAGCAGGAAUGUUUAUUGGUUUUGGCUGCUAAGCCUGUGGAUAUCUGGAAGGGCAGUUUACCUGGCCAUAUGCAGGUAUAAAUCUAACUAAAUGUGGUGUUGGAGAGAGAUGGACUAAAUAGGAUCAUGCUGAUGCCCCAAUGCCACCCAG